GCGGAGGGAUCAUUACCGAGUUUACAACUCCCAAACCCAAUGUGAACGUUACCAAACUGUUGCCUCGGCGGGGUCACGCCCCGGGUGCGUCGCAGCCCCGGAACCAGGCGCCCGCCGGAGGAACCAACCAAACUCUUUCUGUAGUCCCCUCGCGGACGUAUUUCUUACAGCUCUGAGCAAAAAUUCAAAAUGAAUCAAAACUUUCAACAACGGAUCUCUUGGUUCUGGCAUCGAUGAAGAACGCAGCGAAAUGCGAUAAGUAAUGUGAAUUGCAGAAUUCAGUGAAUCAUCGAAUCUUUGAACGCACAUUGCGCCCGCCAGUAUUCUGGCGGGCAUGCCUGUCCGAGCGUCAUUUCAACCCUCGAACCCCUCCGGGGGAUCGGCGUUGGGGAUCGGGACCCCUCACACGGGUGCCGGCCCCGAAAUACAGUGGCGGUCUCGCCGCAGCCUCUCCUGCGCAGUAGUUUGCACAACUCGCACCGGGAGCGCGGCGCGUCCACGUCCGUAAAACACCCAACUUUCUGAAAUGUUGACCUCGGAUCAGGUAGGAAUACCCGCUGAACUUAAGCAUAUCA
rnacentral:rRNA from 2 species